UACGUAGGGACCGAGCGUUGUCCUGAAUCAUUGGGCGUAAAGAGCGUGUAGGCGGCCAACUAAGUCCUGCGUGAAAUCUCGGGGCUCAACCCCGAGCGGUCGUGGGAAACUGGUUGGCUAGAGUGCGGGAGAGGAGAGUGGAAUUCCUGGUGUAGCGGUGAAAUGCGCAGAUAUCAGGAAGAACACCCGUGGCGAAGGCGGCUCUCUGGAACGCAACUGACGCUGAGACGCGAAAGCGUGGGGAGCAAACAGG
rnacentral:rRNA from 1 species